rnacentral:misc_RNA from 1 species
UCAAACUUGGUCAUUUAGAGGAAGUAAAAGUCGUAACAAGGUUUCCGUAGGUGAACCUGCGGAAGGAUCAUUACCGAGUGAGGGUUCGCUUGAGCCCAACCUCCCACCCGUGUUUACUGUUACCGCGUUGCCUCGGCGGGCCCACUGGGGCCUUGGUCCCGGUCGCCGGGGGGCAUCUGCCCCCGGGCCCGCGCCCGCCGAAGCGCUCCCGAACCCUGUCUGAACAGUGAGUCUGAGUACGAUUGAAUCAUUAAAACUUUCAACAACGGAUCUCUUGGUUCCGGCAUCGAUGAAGAACGCAGC